AUCCACAGUUAAGUAAAUUAUUAAAUCAAUUUCCUGUGAAAAAAAAUAUGAAAGGGAUAAUGAUUAGCAGCUCUCUAAGAUACCCUUAACAUGGAUCAUGCUAUACCAUAAGUAUAAUGGCACUAUCAGAAGCAAUCAUAGUGACCCUAUCAAACGAGUUCACCCUACUUGUUUGAUGAAUUGAAUUGAAUCUUCUUUACAUUGAUUCAAUUUGAAAUGUUUCACUGUACCGUGAGAAUUCUCUUCCCUUAAAUCAAAUAGUGAUUUUAUGCAGAAGCACUUGACCUUAGUCACUCAUCAGUCAUCAGGGCAGGUGAGUGAGAAAGAUAUGCACUAGAAUCAAGCUCAUUUAUCUAGCCAUGGAGUAGGAGAGAAUUCACAAACUUCAGGCUGGUCUUUUUUCUCCUACUAAAUUCAGGAUGAAGCUUAUGGAUCACAAGAAUGAAAAAGGAUGAAUCUGAUGUUAAAUCAGCUCGGACGCAUCCUGAGCUUCAGGAUAUCGAGUUCGUUGAGAACAGCUUAUUAGCUUCUAAUGUUGAUUAUAAUGAGCAAGUGUAUAGCACAAGGAAUGCAUCACUGAAUUCCAACUUGAGUGGCAUGGUAGCAAAUGGUGCUCAAGCGAAUCAGAGUUCUUUCUGAUUAAAAGAAUUUAUGCCAGGAGAUCAUGGCAAUGCUCCGCGCCAAAAUUCAGAGGGCUGGCAGUGUUAAUUCAAGCUCAGUUCACCCACUGAGAACAUUAGACGCUGCUCUACGCUGAUAAGUUGCCUUUUUAAAACUCUCAGUUCACGCAAUUAUCAUGGGAUUUGCCGUUUGGUGUGGUUUUUGUCAAUAUCUGCAGGUACAUAGGUACAUAGGUACAUAUGAGAGAAAAUUAGAUAAUUUAUGUGAAUCAAAUUUUCGGGAACCAUAGGAUUUUGGGUGCUAUAAUAUUUUGAAUUUUGUUCACGAUAUGUUUGUAUUAGUGGUGAUAUUUUAAAUUAUGCACUAAUUUGCAGUUGAUUGUAUCUAUCUCUUUUUGACCAGUCCGUUGGAUCAAAAUUCGUAUAAGCUGUUGAUUUUGAAAGGCUGCGGUGAAGAUUUUUAAAGAGGAGCGUGUUCCAGAGACUUGAGUCGCAGACAAAGCUCGAGCCUUUACACCUUUAAUCACUUGUGAGUGGUUUGAUAUCAGAUGGUGUUCUUGCAUAAGACAUCCAGAAAGUAUCAUCAUUUUGACAUAUCCGUGGGGUUUCUAUUUUUCUGCUUCUUCAGAGUUCUUUAUAAUUUAUUUUGACAUACCAGUGGCAAGAUUUAUAAAGGGAUUACAAGAAUUUCAAUAAAAAUAUUUAUCAUAUAUUUGUGUGGUGAAAUUGAAUUCUAUCAUUCUCUCACCCCUAUGACUUAUCAUUCUUUCUAUCUUUCAUUCGAGUAUGCAUAUGACCCCAUGAUAUUAGUCAUUAAAUCCCAAAUUGAAAUAAGUCGCUAAGAGAAAGGCGUCUUUUCUUGAGCUGUUUUGGAAU